AACGAACGCUGGCAGCAUGCCUAACACAUGCAAGUCGAACGAGACCUUCGGGUCUAGUGGCGCACGGGUGCGUAACGCGUGGGAACCUGCCCUUAGGUUCGGAAUAACUCCCCGAAAGGGGUGCUAAUACCGGAUAAUGUCUUCGGACCAAAGAUUUAUCGCCUUUGGAUGGGCCCGCGUUGGAUUAGCUAGUUGGUAGGGUAAAAGCCUACCAAGGCGACGAUCCAUAGCUGGUCUGAGAGGAUGAUCAGCCACACUGGGACUGAGACACGGCCCAGACUCCUACGGGAGGCAGCAGUGGGGAAUAUUGGACAAUGGGCGAAAGCCUGAUCCAGCAAUGCCGCGUGAGUGAUGAAGGCCUUAGGGUUGUAAAGCUCUUUUACCCGGGAUGAUAAUGACAGUACCGGGAGAAUAAACUCCGGCUAACUCCGU
rnacentral:rRNA from 1 species